rnacentral:rRNA from 1 species
GUAGCAUAAUCAUUAGAGGUUUAAUUGGAAUCUGGAAUGAAGGGUUGGACAAAGAAAAAACUGUCUUUAGAAUAUAAUUUGAAAUUUACCUUUAGGUGAAAAGGCCUAAAUAUUUCAAAGGGACGAUAAGACCCUAUAAAGCUUUAUAUAUAACUUGAACUUAAUUGAUUUAAAAUCUAAGAGUUAAGUUUAAAUUAUUUUAUUUUGUUGGGGUGAUACGAGUAUAAUUGUUAUUAACUGCUUGAAGGUAUAAUACUAAAAUAUUAGAGUUGUAGGUAUAUGAUCCUUUUUAGAGAUUAAAAGACUAAGUUACUUUAGGGAUAACAGCGUUAUUUCUUUUGAGAGUUCAUAUCGAAAAAGAAGAUUGCGACCUCGAUGUUGAAUUAAAAUAUCUAUAUAAUGCAGUAGUUAUAAAAGAGGGUCUGUUCGACCUUUAAAUUUUU